CACGGCGCAGCCUCCCGGCCAGCCCCAGAGUCAGGCCCUGGGCAUGCAGCCGCUUCCUCCACAGCAGCCCAUGUUCCCUCGACAGGGGCAGGGCAUGCAGCAGACGCAACAGCAACAACAGACCGCCGCUUUGGUCAGACAACUCCAACAGCAGCUGUCAACUUGAGGUAAAAAAAAUGACGUGAUUCCGAGUUCAGACUUCCCACUUCCAAGUUAAGUCGAUCGCAAUAAUAAAUGCACACAGCCAGGACAGAACACCAACUCGUAUUACCCCAAGUACGAGUGAGUCCUGCGUGGCCCUCCUGACACGGACCGGACGAUUCCGGAGUCGUCUUGAGCCGGGAGGCCCUCGGACACGAGAGACUGAUCCCCAGCCGAUCCGAUAUCUGACCACAGUGCUGUUUCUAGGAAUAAAACCUCUUUCAGAUUUUGUGUAAUUCCACGACGGUCCGAGGUAUGAGGCUGUGAACUGGUGAUCAUGAAGCGCAAGGAAGGACUUUAUGUAAAAAAAAAAAAAAAACACACACACACAACACAAAAAAAAAAAAAAAACACGAAAUGAUGAGAGUAAUGCAGUGUUUUUUAUUUUAUUUUACUUUGUACAAUUUUUCAGUUUCGUGUAUUCUCAUUAAAAAAAAAAACAAGUCG
ensembl:lncRNA